ACUUUCAACAACGGAUCUCUUGGCUCUCGCAUCGAUGAAGAACGUAGCGAAGUGCGAUAAGUAGUGUGAAUUGCAGAAUUCCGUGAAUCAUCGAAUCUUUGAACGCAAAUUGCGCUCCCUGGCAACCGGGGAGUAUGCCUGUUUGAGGGUCAGU
rnacentral:rRNA from 1 species